ACAGGGGAGGCUAGAUUUUUUUUUUCUCUCAAUUUCCUCUCUGCCCCUUGUGCUCCAUUUUGCCAUAAUGUACGGAUUUGGAGUUAUAACCCAUGUAUUUCAUCUUUUUCUUCCUUUUGUAUUCCAUUUUUGUCCGGCAUCUGAUGUGCUCCAUUUUGCCAAAAGUUCUUAAUCGAGGUUAGCAUUCACAUGUGUGUUUAAUCUAUUGAGCAUAGUUUAAUAUUUGUGCCCUGAAGGAGGAGUACAUAAUACCCUACAUUUUAAAACAAGAAUGAGCAGAGUGGAUUUGCAUCCAGGUUUCUCAUUUCUUAAACAUUUGGAUUGAUACUUCUUCCUUUUUGUUCUAGGGUUUAGGGUUUCUCUAUGUUUUGAUGUUUGGUUCUCUCUGGUUUUGGCCCUUCAUUUUCUCAAUUAAUUUGGAUAUUCAGUUUGAGAUGAUGCUUCUGAUUUCUAGCAUUUUGAUUAAUUUAAGAGAUUUAGUUAAAUUGAGGGGUGUAAUUCUCACAUAAUUUUGUUGUUGUUUAUUUUCCUUGUAUAAUUUGUUUCACUCAUGGCACCAACUUGGGGAGCUAAGGCUCUGUUUCAACUUUGUGAGUUAUACUUUACAUCUUCCAAUUUUGUGGGCAUGAUUUUUCCCAUGUUUGUUUCAAUAUAUCAGCAUAUCAUCCUUACUAAUUGAAGUUCUAAAGCUAUACUUUUGACAAAUUUAAACACUUUGUUUCUCUUAAUUGGUCUAAUUUGUCAUCUUUCUCACUUUCAUUUUCUACUACUUGAGUGAUGCUGUAAUAUUAUGGUAGAACAAGAGGAUGAACUUAAACUAUUGAAUGUACUACUUCCUCCGAUCAGAGGACCAAAUUAAAGUUGUAUUAUUUCUUACUGAACUAUUUCAUUUUAAAAGACUUUAUUAUUUAGUUAUAUCAAUUAUUUAUUCAUAUAAAUUUCAGGCAUUUGGGGACAAAUUUGUCUAUAUGAUUAGAUUGAUUAAUUGGAGUUUAAAUAUGCUUAAUCUAGACAAACAUAUUGAACUAAACUCAGAAUGCAUGCAUGAUUAAAGCGAUAACACUGAGGAGUGGAAGCAUAAUGGUGCCCCUAGAAAGCGUGUUGUCGGUGAUUAGUAUCAGAAUGAAACUACACCUAUUCAUGAGGCUACAAAGCCUUCUAUUUCCUUUCUUCCUUUUCUCCUUCUCAUAGUUGUUACCCUCACUGUUCUAGUAAAAAGGCCGUUUGUGUAGGGGGAUUAUAUAUGCAUUGUAACUUGCUACUGUGAAGGUGGAGACAUAAAGUUUGCAAAUGGUUGGCAUAGUUGUUAACUAGCUAAGCGGUAGUUUAUCUGCACUCCAAUCGGAUGCUACAAAAAGAUCUUAAGGGGACUUUAGACUUGCAAAACUACUCAAUACAAAAGACCUUGCUUCAUCAUCAUCGCAGAGGUUUUUAAACAUGCAGAAUAUAUUAAAGAAGAGAGAGGCCAGCAGAAAGAUGUCGGGUCAACUGCUGUCCUAUUACGGGAUCGUCUCUUUGUUGCUAAUGUUGAAUAGUCCAGAGUAGUUGCAUCUAGAGUUGGUUCAGGUUGCCUAUUAUUUUUUUUCUGUCAAUAGAUGAUUCUGGGAUAGAGGACUUGUACUUCAAAGUCGUGACAUGAUAACGUUUCCUUGAAAAUCAUUGCAAGUAGUGGAGAAUAUUUUAUCUUGUAUAGUUUGUAUAACUUUAUUUUAAGAAAUGAUGGAAUACUAUUAUUGUAAUGGAAAUAGAUUAUGAAAUCUCAAUUAUGAAUAAUGG